rnacentral:rRNA from 1 species
UGGGGAAUAUUGGACAAUGGGCGAAAGCCUGAUCCAGCCAUGCCGCGUGUGUGAAGAAGGUCUUCGGAUUGUAAAGCACUUUAAGUUGGGAGGAAGGGCAUUAACCUAAUCCGUUAGUGUUUUGACGUUACCGACAGAAUAAGCACCGGCUAACUCUGUGCCAGCAGCCGCGGUAAUACAGAGGGUGCAAGCGUUAAUCGGAAUUACUGGGCGUAAAGCGCGCGUAGGUGGUUUGUUAAGUUGGAUGUGAAAUCCCCGGGCUCAACCUGGGAACUGCAUUCAAAACUGACUGACUAGAGUAUGGUAGAGGGUGGUGGAAUUUCCUGUGUAGCGGUGAAAUGCGUAGAUAUAGGAAGGAACACCAGUGGCGAAGGCGACCACCUGGACUAAUACUGACACUGAGGUGCGAAAGCGUGGGGAGCAAACA